AAAAGUAUCAUACUCCUGAGGGAGAGAACACAAAAACAUUCCAAUCACCUGACUGAAGCCAGUUUCCACAUCUUCAUUAAAGCUUCAACCAUCAGUGCUGUGACACAAGACAAGGGCAAACCUUAAAGCAUUCAGAAGUGCCAUUUUCCAAGAGCAACUUCCACACAGAAUUCUUACAGAUGUAUCACUAACAGCAUGCAGCCUCAAAUCCUGAAAUAACAACAUUUCAGGAUUUGAGGAUAAACUUGAUUUUCCAGUAACAACAUGGAUGUUGUUAAAACACAGAUUGUGGGCUGACAUCAUCAGCCCCAUUUUCUGACAAAUGCAUUGCUGCCUGAUGAAGAACAGUGAGGCAGAAAGAAAAGACGUCAGAAACGUUCCGUGCCCAAAAAGAAGUGGAAUAGCGGUAGAUGAAGCGGAGGAGCUAAGGGAAGAGGAAUGGCGCACCAGCUCUACCAUACUACUUAGGUAGUCUGACCUCUGAGUGAAGGCACGGACAUGAAUCUUUGGGGUUUUGCUGCUCAGUAUCAAUUGUAUUAAAUAAAGACUGCCAGGAAGUUUGCAGCCAGUAUAGUCAAUGCAUUGAGCAGGUUAAAUUCUAUUUGAAUGGUCAGGAGGUAAGGAGUGAACCAAAAUCUAAUCUAAUCUGUUUGUGACAGAGCAUACAUUUGCACAUCCUAAACACACAAUAACAACACUGAGGACAGAUUAUAAUCAAUUACGUAAAAGACACAAGUCAAACACACUGGUACAUCUUCAAGAGUCAGGGGUCUGCCACAAGGGGGAUUUGGAGUGUUUGAGGUUUUCUAUAGUAGACAACAAACAGGCUCAAUGCAGGGCAGCUCAUGUUUGUUCUCUGCCAGCGAGUUCAUUAAAUGGAAAGAAAACCACUUAAAAGCAAAUAAAAAUUAAAAUGUUUCACAGAAAGAACGCAGUUAAUAGAAUAAAUUAUGUUUAGAUGGACUUUGCGUUGAAUCGUUUAAAAGGUUGAUAACAGAGAACAAGGGAAAACAACACAGUGGGCGGGAUUGCCGAUUUUUCAGAUCCCAAAUAUAUGCGAGGUUAAAAUAUACAAAACAUGUAUACAUUUCCAAUACUUGCAAACUUCCAUUUCAGACUGACUAAAGAUAAUAGUCUAAAUCCAGAAAGUUUGUAUAUGUUUGCAGCUCAAAUGUGGCUUCUCCCCCUUCUGUGUUCACUGAUUAAUUUUUUUAAAGCAGAAUCUACAGUAACAGAAUAUCCAUAACCAGGUUUAAACUGAAAAAUCCAGCCUUACAAGAGCUAAAGCUGGUCUGGCCUCAAACAUCUCUAUCUAGCGUACUCCAUCCUACAGCAGCCGAUUCUUCAUGGUGUGCAGUGACUUUUAUAGCCUCUCUUCUCUCUGACACACCAGGCUUUGAUCUCCACCGAGCAGACCAGAUACCCUCCAUCCAUCCUUCCUCUUUCACUGGCUUAUUGCAGGAGACAAUGUCUCUCCACGUGGAAUGAAACAAGAGAUGUGGUUUGCAUUAUAGCACUGCAGAAGUUAAAUAUGAACUUUCUGCGGUCCUGCGCUUGACCCACAGGAAUUUAAGUGAUUCCGGUUGUGCAGUAGGGGCAGAUGUAAAAUGUCUGCUCCUAGAUAGCCAAGCUCUUAGUGCAUAUGAGCACAUAUCGACCUAUAAAACUCCAGGCAACUUAAUGCUGCUGCUGACAGCUCCCACAGAUAUAAACUGUAAUGGAGAAACAGACAGUGG